rfam:Ailuropoda melanoleuca scaffold2702_17, whole genome shotgun sequence.
UUUUUAGAUAUAAGUAUAUCCCAUGUAACAUUUGGGGUAUACUUAUACUAAAA